rnacentral:lncRNA from 1 species
GAAGCGGGCGCGCUACGGGACGCAGGGUCCCAACUGAGAGCUGCAGGAUCCCACGACUCCUUGCGGAAGAGGCUCGCGUCGCACCCCUCUUCGCCGUUCUCUCCCUUCCGGCCGGUCUCGCGGCUUCGGCCGCCCGUGGCAACUCCCCGUCUGAAUUCUUCACAAAAGCCGACUGCGCUCGGAGGGUUCGCAACUGGUUGAGAGAAGCUUCCAGCGGGCAAUCGCGUCGUCUGCUCCUGACAACUCACGGGCCGUGUUUUUUGUCGGGACACGCUCCCGGGAGCAUUGACUUUUUCGUAUCUGCCCGCUAUCAGAAGCACAGUAACCUGUGAGUGACUGUAACUACAAAGGUCCGGGUCAGUGCAGUGAGAGGUCGAAAAGGCGCUGUCAGUGCCUAGAUGCGCUGCUGCUGCUGCUGCUAUACCUGAAGACGCCGAGAGAUAAAGACGCGCAACUCUUCCGCUUUCGCUUUCCUUGCCUUAUUUUGUUCUGGAGUCUACCCAUCGUUGCAGGGAAAGGGUGACAGCGACCGUUUUUUUUUCUUCGGGGGUAGCAUCCUCGGACAAUUUCUCUAGUAUUUUCACUUCAGAGAAAGAAAGGGGAAAUUUUUUUAAAAGACCGAUGAGAGGAGGGAAGCGGCAUUUGGUCUGUCUUUAGUAAGUGACGUGCCCUUCGAAGAGCUGGUCGGGCCCACCUUCGCGGCCGUCCACGGAACACCAAAAAGUUGCCCCGACGCCGACCGAUCGUCAGUAGAGCAAUCGCGAGCAAUCGCCGGCGAGCCAAAAGUUAAGAGCGAAAGUUAUCCAAGCUUUUUGCAGCGGGGCGACGGUGAUCGUCUGCAUCGAUCACAACUUUUCCAGCGUGUGGAAAUCGUUAGCGUAGCCGGCUGGGACAUUCGCGCCACGAGAGACUGGUGAUCGGCCUGAAAUCACAGAGCAGACUGGACCGAGAAAUCUCGCCCGGCGUCGGCGGUGUCUCUCGGAGAAGCAGCUGAGAUCGACCACAUGGCGCCCUGGCGGUCAUUGCACCGUGCCCUGCUUCUGUUGUUCGUUCUGUGGACUGCAGUGGACGCCUACCACAUUCGGGCGUUCGGAAGCAAAGGCGAGUCCAGGAAAAGCUCCCGACGACACACGGAAUCCUGGUACAUGCCUAGAGAUGCGCCUACAGACUUUGAGGAAGAGACGACUGACG